GUGAGCCAGCCAGGAGUGAAGACGACAGGUUUGCUGUCUCCUUUGCCUGUGGGUCUGGGGCCCCAGCCUGGGGGAGACCCGUGACUCCAGGCAUGCUAUCAGGACAACUUCAACCCGAGGGGAGAUCAGCUCUCCCGCAACCUGGUGCCGCUCUCUGACAGCACAACAGAACCUAAGGGGCUACAGGAUGAUUCAAGGAACAGUGUGCUACAGGACCUCGGUAUUCCUGCUGAGAGUCAUUUCCUGUGCUGGAUUUACCAUCACAGGGACCAGAUUUAUAGAAAAAUGAACAUGUAUUGUUGCUAAAUGGAGUUGGUCAUGGAGUGGAAACUAACAAUAUGUUCACCUCAAGAAGACCCUCACCAGAUGCAGCCCCUCUAUGUUGGACUUCCCAGCCUCCGGAAGUUAGAAAUGUGCUACAACCACUCAAGGUCUGCAAACAGAUUCCUAUUUAGAUGUUGUUGAGAGCUGAAUUUCUGGAACAAGAGAUAUAGAUUAAGACUGUUGUUACAUGUUGCCUACAUGACUUUCAAAAGCUUGAUUCCCAGUGGCGCUCUCAACAGCAGUCAUAAACAAUGUUUCGUUCUUGUCGCCCAGGCUGGAGUGUCAUUUUAACUUUUAAAACAUCCUGUUCUGUUUCAUUGCUCCCACAAAUGACUGAGAACAUGACAAAUUUGUCAUUCUGAUACUCUGAACCAGACCUCCAGUUUCAUUUAUGUUGUUGUAAAUGACAGGGUGUCUUUUGAAAAGUCUACACAAACUAUUUAGUUUUUAACCUCAAGGAACUAAAAAACAAAUGAACAAACAAACAAAAAAACUAAGCCAAAAGUUAACAAAAGGAACAAUAUAGUAGUACAGGUUACAGAAGAAAUAAUUGAAAGAGAGAAUAGAAUAACAAUGGAAAAAGAAAAUAAUUCACAGAUCCUUUGAAAGAAGCAGUGCACUGCUGCAAAUUCUGUGAAACAGGUGAAAAACUUUGACUUCCCAAAGUGUGAGAGGGGGUAAACCUAUCUCCAAAACACAUCCCCACUGGGGAAUUUAAAACUCUAGAUCAUGCAAGAAGGAUUUACCCUUACCUAGAGCUGAAACAGACUUAGGGAGUUGUGUGAAAUAUGAAAGUAGAAGUAGCAGUGGGAAGUGCCUUGCAGAUACUCACAGUCUCCAGCUGGAGCCCAGGGAAGCCAUCCUUGACUAUACCUCACAGAGCCCCUCAGGAAACAGUCAGCAGAAUUGGGGAGGUGUUUCAUGGCAAAGGAAGCAUCCAACUAAAAUUGGUAGUGGUUUUGACUGGGAACAAUUUUUUUUCAGUGGAGUCUGGGGAACAUUCAAGAGCCGCUGCAGAUAAAAGUGCAGGAGUGCAGCAGCUGCCCAGACAAAGUGGGCAGAUGAGGAGGAGCAAGGUUUGAAAAAGAAAGCUAUGCUUGCGUUCUCAGCAGGGAAGCCCACAGCUUGGGGCAAGGUCUGAAUGGGGCACUUGGGGACUCAGACUGGCUUUGUGAACUGCAUGGAAGCUAGGUGAGGCCUCUCUCUAUAGCCUAUCCACCACUUCCCUGGUGAACUAUAUGACACAGCAGAGAUGACCAAGAUCCCCUCUGGAACAUAACCCCACUGGACUGAAAACCACUGCUAAAUCACCCAAGUGGCUGUGGCAAGCCCUGCCUAAAGAGAGUUUGAGCCCAGAUCUGCCUAACCUUGCCCACCUGAUGGUAUUUCUCUACCUGCCCUCAUAGCCAAACACAAGAGACAGAAACUCUUGGGAGCUUUAUAGCCCUGCCCAUCUCCUUAGAAAUCAAAAUAAUCACCCUAGCCAACUUAGGGCAAGCUUAGAAUCCCCACUACUGCUGCAGCUGGUGCUUUCCAAAAAGCACCACCUCUUUGCUGAAGGACAAAGAACACAGGCCACUACAGCAACUCAUUACAGAAUAACCCUGACCCAGGAAGGAAAAUACAAUACCUAAUUUGACUUCCUGCAACAUCCUGGUUAAAGAGUUCCUGAGUGUGCUCAUGUGACAACUUCACUGCUGGCAUAGCCAGCAUUUGAGAAAGCCAGCACACUUAACAUAUCUACAACCAGACUCACGUAGUCUACUUCAUUGCCCUGCCACCUCUACCAGAGGAGGUGCUGGUAUCCAUGGUUGGGAGACCUGAAGAUGGAUCCCAUCACAGGACUCUUUGCCGACAUUCUCCAGCACUAGCCUGGCGCCUUGUAGCCCUGCUGGGUAGCUAGACCCAGAAGAGAAAUAACAAUAACUGCAAUCUAGUUCUCUAGAAGUCCCAUUCCAUAUUAAAAAAUGCUCAACAUCACUAAUUAUCAGGGUGAUGCAAAUUAAAACCACUAUGAGAUACUACCUUACUCCUGCAAGAAUGGCCAUAAUAAAAAAAAUCAAAAAAUAAUAUAUGUUGGCAUGGAUGUGUUGAAAACGGUAUACUGUUACAGUGAUAGUGGGAAUGUGAACUAGUACAACCACCAUGGAACAUAGUAUGAAGAUUCCUUAAAGAACUAAAAGUAGAACUAUCGUUUGAUCUGGCAAUCCCACUGCUGUGUAUCUACCCAGAGGAAAAGAAGUCAUUAUAUGAAAAAGACACUUGCACAUGCAUAUUUAUUGUGGCACAACUUAAAAUUCAAUAAUAUGGAACCAGUCUGAAUGCUUAUCAACCAAAGAGUAGAUAAAGAAAAUGUGGUAUAUAUACACCAUGGAAUACUACUCAGCCAUCAAAGGGAAAAAAAAUAAUGGCAUUCACAGCAACCUAAGUGGAGUUGGAGACCAUUAUUCUAAAUGAAGUAAUUCAGAAAUGGAAAACCAAAUAUCGUAUGUUCUCACUUAUAACUGGAAGCUAAGGUAUGAGGAUACAAAGGCAUAAGAAUGAUAUAAUGGACUUUGGGGACUCAAGGGGAAGGGUAGGAGGCAGGUGAGGGAUAAAAGACUACCCAUCGGUAUGUGGUCAAGUGAUCUUCAACAAGGGUGCCAAGAAUACACAAUGGGGGAAGGAUAGACUCUUCAACAAAUGUUGUAAAAGCUAGUUAUCCACAAGCAAAAAAAAUUAAAAGUAGAAUCUUAUCUCACAAACAAAAAUCAACUCAAAAUGUAUUAGUGAUUUAUACAUAAGACCUGUAACUGUAAAACUCCUAGAAGUCAACCUAUGAGGGAAUCUUCAUGACAUUGGGCUUGGGAAUGAUUUCUUGAAUAUGACACCAAAAGCACAGGCAAUAAAAACAAAGAAAAAAGUGGUACUAAAUGGAACUAAAGCUUCUGCACAUCCAAGAAAAUAACAGAAUGCAAAGGCAACCUAUGGAAUGGGAGAAAAUAUCUUUAAACCAUGUAUCUGAUAAGGGAUUAAUAUUAAUCCAAAAUGUAUGAGGAACUUCUAUAUCUGAACAGAAAAAACCCAAAUAACCAGAUUUUUAAAAAAUGAUCCAAGUCUUGAAUAGGUAUUUCUAUAAAGAAGAUACACAAAUUGUCAACAGGUACAUAAAAAGAUGCUCAACAAUACUAAUCAUCAAGGAAAUGCAAAUCAGAUAUUACCUCACAUUUGUUAGAAUGGCUAUUAUCAAAAACAAAACUAAUGUUAAAGUGUUUGUGAAAAUGUGAAAACAUUGGAAACGCAUACAUUGUGGGUAAAAAUCCAAAAUGCUGGAGCCACUGUGGAAAACAGUAUGGAGGUCUCUGAAAAAGUUCUGAAUAGAAUUACCAUACAAUCCAGCAAUUCCACUAUUGGGCAUAUAUUCAGAAUAAUUGAUAUCAGCAUCUUGAAGAGAUACCUAUACUCCCAUGUUUAUUGCAGCAUGGAUUUAAUAGGUGGGUCUUAGCCUAUUUUGUGGGCUACUGUUCAAAGCACAGUUUAAGAGCCCUUGUGGUGGUGCCACUGGAAUUCUCAAUGGCUCCCUCUGGUGCUGCCUAAUGGCGUUAAGGGAGCUUCUCCAAGCUACGCUUCUGAAUGUCUCUUGGUGGGGGAUGGUUUUGAUAUGGGAUUUCCCCAAUGCUUUCUCCAACUAUCUCUGCGUAUGGGAGGAGGGUCUCAGCAUGCAGGGACAAAGAGGCUUUCUGCCUUGGGCCAGUUGCUGUACCUGUGUCACUAGCCCAUCAACUAUGAUGUCUCUAUGCCGGAGAUGAUAAUCUUGAGCCUGUGGGUAAACAUGCUUGCUGUGACUGUAUCCCAUUUUCUAGUUCUUCUCACCCUCGUUUCUAUGUAGGAUGGAAAUAUAGCCUUGGGUUUUUGGGGAAGAAGAGGUUUCUCAUUUUUCAGCGCUGUCUCUUUUUCUAUCUAGUAACUCUAGAUAGAAAUCACUGCUUUAGUGAUUCUGGGCAUGUGGAUUGGGAAAGUCUCAGGCCUGGAAGAGACAGGAUGCUUUCCUGCCAAGAGUCUCAAUCAAAUUGUCUGGCCCAAGAUGCCAGGAUCCCUUUAUGUCAUAGGGUCUUCUAUUCAUUCCCGAGGAUGAAAAAAAUGACCAGGGUGCCUUUUGCUGUUAGAUUUGGAGUCAGGAAAUCCUGGGCCUGGAAGGCCUUCCAUUGUUUGGUGGGAUGACCAAGACAUCCUGCUUCUUUGUUGUUCCUCCAUUUCUGGAGUCCCUUACCAGUUUUCCUUCUUCUUACCACCUUUCAGAAUUUUUUUUUUUUUUUGGUUGCAUCUUGGAUUAUUUCCAGGGUAUAAAGUUGUGUUUAGUAAAUAAGAGAAGGGAGAAAUAACUCUAUGCCAUCUUGUAAGAUCUAUGAUUAGUUAGCUUUUUUAAAAAAAAUGUUAUAAUGAUGACUUUGUAAAUAUUUUUCUGCACCUCUAGCAAGUUUUGUUUUGUGUAUUUAAAGAUGGUUUCAUUAUGUGCAUACAAGUUCAGAAUUAUGAAAUUUUCUUGAUGAAUUGGUCAUUUCGUUAUUCUAAAUUUAUUAGGUUUUUUUUAUUGCUGACAUAAAACAACUCACCAUAAACAACAACCAUUCAUUAUUUCACAUUUCUCUAAGUCAGAAGUUCAGGAGGCUCAGCUGAGAUCAAGAUGAUGUAGGACUGUGUUCCUUAAUGGUGAUUCUCAGGAAAAGUCUACUUUCAAGCUUAUUAAGGUUGUGGACUAAAUUCUGUUUCUUAUAGGUAUAUGACUGAGAUCCCUUAUUCCUUGCUGUCAGCCAGGGAGGUUUUCUCAGCAUCUAGAGGCCACCUAUAUUCUCUAAACCAUGACCCUCUUCAUCUUCAAAUUAGUGACAGCAGUUUGAGUCCUUCUCAUGCUUCAAAUUUUUUUGAACUCUCUUUAUGCAUCCUCUUUUGACACAUCUCUAUUUUGCUUACAACCUAAGAAGAUGCUCCACUUUUAAAGACUAAUGUGAUUAGAUUAAGAGGAACUAAAUAAUCCAGGAUAACAUUACUACAUUAAACAUAUUUUUAAUGUAAUUUUGACCUUAUAAUUUAAAAAGUUCUUAGGUUCCAGUAAUUUGGAUGUGGAGAUCUUUGGGGUCCAUUAUUCUGUAUACUAUAUGAGAUGACACUCUCUCUUAUUAAUAAUGAUUUUUCUUAGUAAUUUUAUUUUAUAUGAUAUCAAUGUAGUCACCUUCACUUUCUUUUCAUACUUUAUAUUGCAUCAAUAAUUUUGCACAUCUGCAUUUUUGUAUAUAGCAUAUAGGUAUAUUUUUAAAUUUGAUUAUUUCUGUCUUAUAGGUGAAAUAUUUAGCUCAUUCACUUUUAUCAGAAAUAUGGCAUUUUUAGAUAUUCGCACAUAUUAAUUUUUGCUUUCUAUUUUAAAAUUUUCUAUAUCUCUUUCUUUAUUCUUCUUUUACUCAAGUUAUUUUGGGUUUUAUUUAUUUUUUUUUGGCUCUGUUGCCUUGGGAGCUAUAUACCUUACUUCUAUUUUUUUAGUAGUUACCCCCUUCCAGGACCUUUCACCUCACAGAUAUAACAAGGUCUGAAGAUAAUGCCUUAAUAUCUUUUCUAUACAAUAGAAAGACUUUUAACUCACUUAACCUAAAUUUAGCCUCUCAUCACUUACAUUCUAUUUUGUCUAAUGUCUAAGAUUUGUGCUUUAUUAAAACCUUCCUUAGAAACUUCUUUUUCAUUGAUUCAUGUUAAACCAUAUUUUUAUUAUUUUACACUGAUAAUUUAUUUGUUAAGAUUCCCCUGUUAAGUCUAUAAAUUUCUUUGCUUAAUAUUUUUUCCUUUGUCACAAAUAUUCAUUUUGGGUUAAUUUUUCCUCUUCUUGC
rnacentral:lncRNA from 1 species